rnacentral:rRNA from 1 species
CUGGAGGAAGCGCGGGCUAAGUUCGUGCCAGCAGCCGCGGUAAGACGAACCGUGCAAACGUUGUUCGGAAUCACUGGGCUUAAAGGGCGCGUAGGCGGGCGGUCAAGUCAGGGGUGAAAUCUUUCGGCUCAACCGGGAAAUGGCCUUUGAUACUGGCUGUCUUGAGUGAGGUAGGGGCAUGUGGAACUUCCGGUGGAGCGGUGAAAUGCGUUGAUAUCGGAAGGAACGCCGGUGGCGAAAGCGACGUGCUGGACCUCUUCUGACGCUGAUGCGCGAAAGCUAGGGUAGCGAACGGGAUUAGAUACCCCGGUAGUCCUAGCCCUAAACGAUGGGUACUAGGUAGUGGACUUAACAUGGGUUCACUGCCGAAGCAAAAGUGUUAAGUACCCCGCCUGGGGAGUAUGGUCGCAAGGCUGAAACUCAAAGGAAUUGACGGGGGCUCACACAAGCGGUGGAG